ACCGAAAAUUAUUGAUUUUACCACACCAAAAAUUAACCGGGCCGAUAUCACGUGAUAUAAUCAAGCAUAAACGUUUCGAGCAUUAAGAGAUCGGUUCUACUUUCUUUCUUUCUUUGAAAUUGUAUGCAAAAUGAAAUCCAGAACAAAUGCAGGAGUUCUUCGUGUUGAUCGUCUUCCAUUAAAUGCAACUCCUGGUGACAUUCGAAGGCACUUUAAAGAUCAUGGAGCAAGACCUGAAGAUAUUCAUCUUGUUCUUGAAGCAGAUGGUAAGCACAAUGGGUCUGCUUUUCUUACAUUUACUAAUCAAGGUGAUGCUGCUCAUGGUUUAAAUGCUAAUGACUCCUUACUCAAGGAUAAAAGAUUGGCUGUAAAUGAAAGCAAUCCAGCUGAAUUUAAUAAGUAUUUUCCUGGAGUGCCUAUGUUUUCCUAUAUUAGAGGAAGUGAAAGAAGAAGGGGAGGUUCAGGAAAACGAAAAUCGGGUUUCUCAAGAGGUAGAGAGCCAAGUGGCUUUAAUUCUUCAGCACCCUUUGGUGAAGGUUCAAUUCGUGAGCAGAGUAGGGACAGUUUAAGUAAAUUAAGUAAUGAAGAUCGAUUUAUGAAUAGAAGAGGCAGUCGGGACAGCCCACGACGAGGUAGAUCACGAUCUCCACUUAGAACAGAUCAAAGUACCAGAGACUUGUUUUUAAAAAACUUUGGCCAUAAUGAUCGUAGGGAUCAACCUGCAGAUCAUAGACGAUCUGAGAGUCGAAAUGGAGAUAGAGGCAAAAACAAUUAUGACAAUUUUGAUAAAAUAAAUGAAAGAAAGUUUGUUUUUAUAGGUGAACUUCCAUACAAUGCAACUGAGGUUGACAUACAGGAUUUCUUCAGACCAGUACUCACAAGAGAUAUUUUUUUAAUCAGAAAUAAAGUUGGAAAGUAUAUUGGUAAACCUAAUGGCAAUGCUGUUGUUGAAUUUUUUUCUGAAAGUGAUGCCAGAGAAGUACUCAAAUGUGAUGGUAAAAGGUUCGGCCAAAGAAAUGCUGUUGUUCAAAGAGCACGAAAAGAGGAAAUUAUUUCUGCUAUUGAAGAGAACCAAAUGCAUUCUUUAAAUAGGCCUCUACCACCACCAGGAAAUAUAGUUCCAGAUAUUUCAAAUUUAGCUGCUGCUAAUUCAAAUCCUCAAGUACAAGCGCUAUUGACUUUAUUAACUGCUACUGUAAAUAGUCUUGCUGGAUCUGCCUUUCCAAUGGUACCACCCUCUGAUGUUCCUGAUAUGGGAAGAUCUUUUCGAGGUGGUCUCCCUGAAAGACGGAGAAGAAGGAGUGAUCCAAUAAUUGGUCGAGUAGCUAGCAGUGCAAACAUUGAUGUAAAUGACAUUAAAAUGGGAAGAGCAGUAGGAAUAAGAAAUCUGCCCUAUGAAGUAACUCCAGACGAAAUAUUACAGUUUUUCAGAAAUUUUCCAGUAAUAGCAGACUCAGUAAGAAUACAUUACUUAGAAGAUGGAAGAUGCUCAGGUGAUGCUAUUAUUUCAUUUCGCGGGAGUAGAGAUGCAAGAGAUGCAGUUCAAGCUUUAAAUAGAAAAAAUCUUGGAAGAAGAAAAGUUGAAUUAUUCUUUUUAUAAUUGAAAAGUAAGAAAAAACAUGGCAGUAUUUUAAAUGAUUUUAUUUUAAUUUGUUUAUUGUUGGAGAGAACUGGAUUUUAACAUAAAAGUAAAAAUAUCUUCUAUUUGUAUUAUUCUUUUGCGGAGAGAAAAAAAGAAGAAGCAUUUUUAGUUAAAAGAAAUUAAAAAAAAAGUUUUUCAAUAAGACUUUGAAUUAAAAAAAAAAGUUUUUUGUUUUUUUGUUUUUUUUUCUUUAAUUUGAUUAUAGUUCAGAGAUUUAAGCAGAAACUAAGAAGAAAAACUGAUAUUAAAUCACCAAUGUAUUGUGAAUUUGUAUUAAAAGAAAAGAAAGAAACUUUGAGUUUUAUAUAACAGAAUUGUGAUUGAUUAAAAUUGUCAGAUUGUCUCAAAGUUGGAAUAGUUUUCUGUAUGUAAUUUUAGGAAACUUUUCCUAUUUGCUAAAAACUUUCUUUAUAAAAGUUUUUUUUAAAAAGUAAUUUUUAGUAAUUUACCAACUUGAAUAGUAGAGAAUAAACUUCAAUGAGAAUAUUUAUUUUGGAAAGGUAAGUUUUAGGAAAGAGAGAACUAAUUAAACUAAGUCACCAUUUUUAUAACUUGUAAUUUGUAACAAAGUGAAGAAGUUCUUGAGAAGAAGGUAAGUGAACACUGAAAGAAGAUGCUUCUUUUCAGUUUUUAUUUUAAAGUGAAAACUUUUUUUCCUUAGUUAAAGAGAAUGAUAAUAGAAUUGGAUUCAUAAAUUUUUGAAAGUAUAUAAAAAGAAGAAUAAAUAGAUUAUAAAAAGAAGAAUAAAAAGAUUUCAUCACUUAAAAAGUUAAAAAGUAGUGUUAAGUAAUGACAAACAUGUAAUGAGAUGAGCACAGAUUUAUGAAAUAGCUUGGAAUUUGUUGGUAUUGGAAACUAUUAAGUUAUAUUGCUGAGUUGUCUGAUGUAUCAAAAAAUGCAACAACUUGAGAAAGGAUAUUUGGAACUUGAUUUUUAAUGCAUUGAGAUUUUGAAUUGAUCAAAAUUGGUUUUUUAGCAUCCAUUCGAUGUUUUGCUUUUAUUUCAGAUGAUUCAUAAUAUGCUUACACUGUAACUAUGGAAAGCUAUUGUUCUACAAUGUUAGAUUGUCAAUUUAGAAUUCAACUGUUAAAAUUAUUGGAAACUGCUAAGUUUGAGAGAGAAAAAUUAGAAAGAAAUAUCAGAUUAACUAAGCAAGAAGGUAAGUUCUUAAUUACAAUUUUUUGUUGGCUACCAUCAUGAGAGCUGAACUAAGAACACUAAAGAAGUGUUGAUACUUGUAAUCAGUGAGUUGUAUUAAAAGAGAAAGACCAAGUUUAGGUUUGAAAUAUUUUAUCCAGCCAGAAGUCAGUAGAGUAAUAUAUGAAAAGAUCCAAAUAAAAAAGUAUAUAUUAAAUGUAAAUUUAAUGCAGUUUAUUUGGAGAAUACUAUUUGAAAUUCAUUUAUUAAUAUAUGUGAUUUAAUUUAUCUGCAUUUUAUGUUUAUACAUUUAUUUAAAAAAAAAAACAUUUUAAUUUGUUUGUGUACAAACUUGGCCAAUAAUAAAGAUUGCAUCACAUAACUAGUAACUAGGCAAUGUGAAACACCGUAGACAUAAACAAAAAAUUAACACUUCAGUCAAAGUUCUAGAAUAUUAGUGCAAUUGUUUUUUUUAGCUUUUAUAAAGAAAUUAGCCUUGAUUGAUGGGUCGGUUUACACAAAUGGUAAAAACAUGUUAGUCGAAGCUGGUUACUGUGACAAUACAGAGAUCAUACAUACUGAUGUGCAGAAAGUUAAUUUCAUCUAUAAUCACCAACCCUCGGAAUUAUGGGUCGGCAUUUGGCAAUGUCGAUCUAAAAGUGUUUGAGACUGGCAAAAAAUUGCCAACACUGUUUCUAUGUUUUAUGGUAACCUUUUUGUGUCAAAUUCGCUGACCUCUAACAGUUUGAGCAAUUUUUUGCUAGGCAAUUUAUUACUGACCUUAUUUUUCCUAAUUUCGAGGGUUGACUUACUAAUUAAAUAGCGAAUCUUUAACAGCAUAUUAUCUUGUAUUCAUUUAACUUUUUUUACUUUUAGAAUUCUGAAUAAAAAUUCAUUCAAUGAAUAAACUUGGUUAUUUUGAUCUCGUAUAAAUUCACUAUAUACUACUUACGUCAUUGAGAAGGUGCAAUAUGACUCAAGCAGCAUUCUUUUAGUGAUAAGGUGUACGAAGAUGCGGUCAACACGGUGGCGGGUACAAAGGGGGUAACUACCCCCUCCUGAAUGAAUUUCUCAUGAAUUAGUUUCUUAUUUAGAAAACAAAAGUGUGUUAAAUACUAUUUUAAAUAAAUUACAACUGAUUUUACUAUUUUAAA
rnacentral:lncRNA from 1 species